rnacentral:rRNA from 1 species
GACGAACGCUGGCGGCGUGCUUAACACAUGCAAGUCGAGCGGUAAGGCCCUUUCGGGGGUACACGAGCGGCGAACGGGUGAGUAACACGUGGGUGACCUGCCCUCAGCUCUGGGAUAAGCCUGGGAAACCCGGGUCUAAUACUGGAUAUGACUCCAUGACGCAUGUUGUGGGGUGGAAGCCUUGUGCGGCUGAGGAUGGGCCCGCGGCCUAUCAGCUUGUUGGUGGGGUGANGGCCUACCAAGGCGACGACGGGUAGCCGGCCUGAGAGGGCGACCGGCCACACUGGGACUGAGACACGGCCCAGACUCCUACGGGAGGCAGCAGUGGGGAAUCUUGCGCAAUGGGCGAAAGCCUGACGCAGCGACGCCGCGUGAGGGAUGAC